rnacentral:tRNA from 1 species
AAGGUUUUAAGUUAUAUUAAACUAAUAAUCUUCAAAAUUAUAAAAAAAGUAAAUUAUUCUUUAAGCCUUA